CUUGCUUCUGAUUACAACACCUUCCCGAGAGCGUUUCUUAUCACGACUCAGAUUAGGAUCAUGUAUUAAUCCAACGGACUAACAGGGGAUUUCCUGCGUGAUUUGUGAGCGUGGAAUAUAUAUUAAGCCUUUAAAGUAAUGUUUUUUACUCGCCUUUAUCACUCAGGCAUUAUCGUUCAGGUGAUGAUAAAUAACGUGUGUUUAUAACGUGGGAUGUGUGCAUGUCUCCUUAUUAAACUUUGCUGUCUGCAUUCUCGUGUUUCAUAUGAUUAGAUUGCAAUUGUAUCCAUUCAGUCUGAUGUUAUUGUUAAAGUUCCUAAGGUCUUGUGUAUCUUCAAUGAUUCCUCAUUUAUUUAUUACGAGCACAUCUUUACUUGGUCACUAUUCAUUACGUUUUCUGUUUGUCUUGUCAUGCCAUUCUGUUCGUGUUUUCCAUUGAAGAUGUUGUUCUCUCUCUCUUUUCCUCUGAUGCUAUCUCGUGUUUCUUUCCUUCGUUUUCACACACUUUCCUUUUCGUUUAUGUCUGUUUUCGUUCUCUUUCACCCCUUACUUUCCUGUUCUCCUCCUCCUCCUUCUCCUCCUCUUUUUUAUUGCUAUUUCUUUCCUUUCUUGUUUCUCCAGUUCUCGCCCUCCUUUUCUACACAAACACACACACACGCACACACUGACUCACCGCCACCCUCUUUCAUUGUCUUUUAUGAUUUUUCCUUUUUACCUCCCUCCAUUUCCUUCCUCUCCUCCUUCCCCUCUUCGUAGUAUCGACAAAUCCACCUGUGCUACCUGUGUGGCGUCUGGUCAGGUCAUUCACCAAGCCGCUACAUUCACCUUGGUUCGACCCCGUAGCUGACACUCACACGGGCGGUGACCUUACGUAAGCCGGUUUUAAUGGUAACGGAGUAAGCGGCUGUGUGGGGGAUGUGGGGGAGGGGAUAGGUGAGGGGAACGAGGGAACAGUCUUGUGGGUGUGUGUAGUCUCUCUCUCUCUCUCUCUCUCUCUCUCUCUCUCUCUCUCUCUCUCUCUCUCUCUCUCUCUCUCUCUCUCUCUCUC